rnacentral:rRNA from 1 species
AGUGAACGCUGGCGGUAGGCCUAACACAUGCAAGUCGAACGGCAGCACAGUAAGAGCUUGCUCUUACGGGUGGCGAGUGGCGGACGGGUGAGGAAUACAUCGGAAUCUACUUUUUCGUGGGGGAUAACGUAGGGAAACUUACGCUAAUACCGCAUACGACCUACGGGUGAAAGCAGGGGAUCUUCUGACCUUGCGCGAUUGAAUGAGCCGAUGUCGGAUUAGCUAGUUGGCGGGGUAAAGGCCCACCAAGGCGACGAUCCGUAGCUGGUCUGAGAGGAUGAUCAGCCACACUGGAAGUGAGACACGGUCCAGACUCCUGCGGGAGGCAGCAGUGGGGAAUAUUGGACAAAGGGCGCAAGCCUGAUCCAGCCAUACCGCGUGGGUGAAGAAGGCCUUCGGGUUGUAAAGCCCUUUUGUUGGGAAAGAAAAGCAGCAGGUUAAUACCCCGCUGUUCUGACGGUACCCAAAGAAUAAGCACCGGCUAACUUCGUG